rnacentral:lncRNA from 1 species
AAAAAAAUGUGCUUUGUAUUGAUGAUAAGGCUUAAAUAUUAACACAAAAUGAGCCCUACAAAGCUAUCCAUAUGCCUUGGGCGUGGCAUUGGAUGUUUUUAGAAAACAGUAAAUUACUUUGAAAAAGAAACUAUAUCCGGAACAUCUGUUGCCUUCCAGUUAGUGAGAGCGGCAUCCGGAGGUCCAUGAAACACCAUCUUGGACAAAUCUGGAUCUUCAUCUUCAAGAGCAUUCACUUGAUCAUCACUUCGGAAACCAGCUUUGGAGAAUAUUUCCUGGAUGCUA